rnacentral:rRNA from 1 species
GACGAACGCUGGCGGCGUGCUUAACACAUGCAAGUCGAACGGAAAGGCCCUGCUUUUGUGGGGUGCUCGAGUGGCGAACGGGUGAGUAACACGUGAGUAACCUGCCCUUGACUCUGGGAUAACUGCAGGAAACUGGGGCUAAUACCGGAUAGGAGCUCCUGCUGCAUGGUGGGGGUUGGAAAGUUUCGGCGGUUGGGGAUGGACUCGCGGCUUAUCAGCUUGUUGGUGGGGUAGUGGCUUACCAAGGCUUUGACGGGUAGCCGGCCUGAGAGGGUGACCGGCCACAUUGGGACUGAGAUACGGCCCAGACUCCUACGGGAGGCAGCAGUGGGGAAUAUUGCACAAUGGGCGGAAGCCUGAUGCAGCAACGCCGCGUGCGGGAUGACGGCCUUCGGGUUGUAAACCGCUUUCGCCUGUGACGAAGCGUGAGUGACGGUAAUGGGUAAAGAAGCACCGGCUAACUACGUG